CCUACGGGUGGCAGCAGUGAGGAAUAUUGGUAAAUGGUCGGGAGACUGAACCAGCCAAGCCGCGUGAGGGAGGAAGGUACAGAGUAUCGUAAACCUCUUUUGUCAGGGAACAAAGACUGGGACGCGUCCCCGGAAGAGUGGAACUGAAGAAAAAGCAUCGGCUAACUCCGUGCCAGCAGCCGCGGGAAUACGGAGGAUGCGAGCGUUAUCCGGAUUUAUUGGGUUUAAAGGGUGCGCAGGCGGCAUGUCAAGACAGCGGGAAAAUUUCGGGGCUCAACCCCGUCGUGCCGUUGAAAAUGGCGUUCUUGAGUGAGCGAUAAGUAUGCGGAAUUCGUGGUGUAGCGGUGAAAUGCAUAGAUAUCACGCAGAACUCCGAUUGCGAAGGCAGCAUACCGGCGCUCAACUGACGCUCAUGCACGAAAGCGUGGGUAUCGAACAGGAUUAGAUACCCCUGUAGUC
rnacentral:rRNA from 1 species